rnacentral:rRNA from 1 species
GUGGGGAAUAUUGGGCAAUGGGCGCAAGCCUGACCCAGCAACGCCGCGUGAAGGAAGAAGGCUUUCGGGUUGUAAACUUCUUUUACCAGGGACGAAACAAAUGACGGUACCUGGUGAAUAAGCCACGGCUAACUACGUGCCAGCAGCCGCGGUAAUACGUAGGUGGCGAGCGGUAUCCGGAUUUUUUGGGUGUAAAGGGCGUGUAGGCGGGACAGCAAGUCAGAUGUGAAAACCAGAGGCUCAACCUCUGGCCUGCAUUGGAAACUGUUGUUCUUGAGUGUCGGAGAGGUAAUCGGAAUUCCGUGUGUAGCGGUGAAAUGCGUAGAUAUACGGAGGAACACCAGUGGCGAAGGCGGAUUACUGGACGAUAACUGACGCUGAGGCGCGAAAGCGUGGGGAGCAAACAGGAUUAGAAACCCCUGUAGUCC